UGUCGCGUGGGAACCGUAAUUUUUCCGGGAUAUAAAGUUUCUAUGUCUUUUUCCAGGGCUCAAAAAAUCUCCAUACCACGUUUCAGCAAAAUCUGUUCAGCGGUUUGGGCGUGAAGAGGAUAAGAAUAAAACAGGAAAAGAAGAAGACAAACAAUGGAAUCAAACAAAAGAAGCGCUGAAGACUGGCCGGCAUCUACCAACAAAAGGGCAGCUACUUCUGAACAAAUACACUUGUUAAGUCCUGAGGAGGCACCUAAUAAUUUAAUGUUAAAUUGCUUAGGAGAGUCAACAGAGGAUAUCAUAGAAUAUAUAACCAAGGAGACUGAAAAAAUAAAAGUAUUUAAUGCUCUCGGUAAAGAAUGGAAAGAUGAGGUUUUGUGUAGUAUCAGGAAAGUAAUACAUAGAAGAUGUCAUGAUAUCAUGUUAAACAAAGUUGUUACAAGCAGAGAAGAUACUACAUUGCUCUAUUACAACACAUACCCAAAGGAGAAGGGACUUGAUGAAGAGAUUUUGGGGUUAUUGUUGAAUUCUUCAAAUAAUUCAUCUACUAUUUAUAGCCAUAGAAUAGACGAGUCUAUUGAGAAAUGUUUUAGAAAAAUCAUCACUGAUUUAAAAAGUUAUGAAGAUGAGAAUAUAUUGCAUGAUAAGCUACCUAGUGUAGAAGCUAUGGAAGACAAAAUUGAUGAAGUAGACAAAAACCUACACAAUGUAGAUGUAGAGAGGAAGGACACAGAGAAGGGAAAAGGUAUUGAAGAAACAAGUAAAGUCAUGGAUGUCAAUGAACAAGAUAGGAAGAAAUUAGAUAAAUAUUAUAAAAUGAUUGAUAAAUUGAUAGCACCAAAAAUUGUUGAUCUUCUAAACCGUCAUAGAAGUGAAUUUCAAGAAAUAUUAAAAAAUUAUAAAGAAUACUUAGAAGAAGAAGCGACAAUUAAAUUACAACUCAGGGAAGAGAUUGAAAAAAGUUUAAAAGAGGAGAAUAAACAAGAGAUAGAGAAUUAUCUCAGUAAUAAAAAUUAUAAUUAUGAAGAAAGAGAUUCAGAAAAGUAUGAUGAAGAUAAUUCAGAAACUGACAGUAUGAAUAAAGAAAUGUGUUUAGAUAAUGAUGAAGUGGACAGAGAAGUUAUUUCAGAAAAUGAUAGUGAAGAUAGUGAAAUGAAUUCAGAAAAUGAUAAUAAGAAUGAAGAGAAUUCAGAAAAUGAUAAUAUGAAUAAAGAUAAUUCAGAAAAUAAUAAUAUGAACGAAGAGAAUUCAGUAAUUGAUAAUAGCCGAACAGAAAAAGAAAGAGAUAAGCUAGUUCAGAGUGAUGCAAACGUGAACAGGCCUGAUCUAGAGUAUAGAGUAAAGCUCAUCAGUACGCCAGAUAUGCCAACCAAAGAGUUGAUGUUGGAAUUCUUAAAUCAAUUUAAUACAAAGACAAUAAAAAAACACAAAACAAUAAAGAAUUUACUUAUAAUAAAUUUGAAUACUGAAGAAGAUUACAAUAACAUAUUAAAGGCGAGCGGAACUAUAAUAGGCUCACAAAAGUUAUUAAUAAGUAGUGAAAAUAAAAGCAAUGUUAAUAAGAAUAAUGCGAAAAAUGGAAGUGACGACAGAUCCGAAGUUGAAACAGUGAAAGAGCCAAAUGACAAAACAAACGCCGACAGAGACAAAAAUGAUGACAUACGCAAAGAAGUUCAAGGUACAACAAACGAAAGAGAAGGGAAUAGUGAAAUAGAUGCGACGAAACAGAAAGUAAUAGUAAAGCAAGAACCAGAUGAGCUUAUUAAUGAUAGAAUAGUAAAGGUUAAGAAGGAGAUCGAUAGUGUAGAAGAAAUUGUAGAAAAAGAAGUAAACAUUAACACAUCACAUGUAGUGAAUACAGAUGCUUCGGAGUUUGUUGCUUGGGUAAAUGCAUCCCCUUUCUUUCCGAAAGAAAUAGCGGCGUUUAUAAAAGGGUAUAAUCCCACUGCAAUUAAAAAGCACAAAAAAGUUCCAAACGUUGUACUUGUUACUUUUAAAAAUAGGAGUGACUAUGAGAAUUUCUUGGUAAUGGAUGGACAUCAAAUUACUAAUGAUUGUACGGAGAUUAAGAUAACCGUUAUAGCACUGGAAGAUUUAAACUUAGAUUAUAAAGAUAUCACGGAUACUACAGAAGAUCAAUUUGAAGAGAUCAAUGACUUAACAGAUAAAGUUAUCAAAAAAGAAACUCAUGUUACUGUAACUAAUCCUCAUGCUGCCACUAAAAGAAAGCGGAAACAGCUGUCUGGGGCGGCUAAACGACGCAUAGAAUGGUGGAUGGCUAGAGGCAAAAGUCUCGAAGAAGCUAAAGAACUUUGUAAGAAACCCCUCAAAGAAUAUCCCGAAUAUACUGAAAAGAUACAAGCAUUUUUACCUUCAGAAGAUUCUACGGAGAUACAAAAUGUUAGCGAAGCAGAAAAGAUCACAGACACAGUCGAAGAUGAUUCUACUCAGGCUACUGAUUUGGAAAGGCCUGAAGAAAUCUCAGAGGCGUCUGCCAGUACUUCUAACGUUGGAUGCGAUCGCACUACUACUAGAAACACAAGACUAUUAUCUGGUGCUGCUAAAAGACGCAUAGGUUGGUGGAUGGCUCGAGGCAAAAACUUCGUCGAAGCAAAAGAACUUAGUAAGAAGCCGUUAAUGGAAUAUCAAGAAUAUAUUGCUGAGAAGGCUAAAGCAGCUAUUACUGUUUAUAAACUCAAUGUUGGGAACAUUGCUCGGCCUACUAAUAGUCAAGAUCCAGGAUCUAUUAUUAAUGGGCAAGAUUGUAGAACUACUAUUGAGGUUCUUCCUACACCAACUGUUGGUCAAGGAUCUAGCCUUGGACAAUUUGCUAUGCCCGCUUCUGAGCAAGUUACCAAGCUUACUGCUGGGCCAAUUGCUAAGACCGCUAGUGGCCAAGUCCCUAAUAUUGGCCAUGCCAAAUCUACUGGUAAUCUGACUACAUCCUCUAUUAGUCAGGUGUCUCAACCCACUAAUGAGAAAACAAUGAGGCUCACUAAUGGGCAAGUAACCAAACCAAAAGCAAAGAAGCGUAAAGUGUUCGAAGGGGCCCUAAACAUUGGUAUCUUAGACGCUUCAGGACCUAUGACUAAAGAAAGGGCUGAAGCCCUUAAGACCUGUAUUUUACGACUCAUAGAUGUAACUCCGCAGGGGGAAGGUCCCAAAUUCCUUCAAUGCUCACGAAAGUCCGGAGGAAUAAUGCUGACAUGUGCUGAAGAAGAAAUAACCAGAAAAUGGUUGGAGCGCGCUGUAACUCGAAUCCAACCCUGGGAUGGUGCAAAACUACGCAUAGUCGAAGCAUCGGAACUAAACCUUCGAUACGCGACAGCAUUAGUCCGAGACACGAUCAUAGAAGAGGACAAAAUACUCAGUCUCCUUCGAAAACAGAACGCUGGGUUGCAAAUACCGACUUGGAAAAUAGUGCACAGAAGGGCGCACGAGUUGGGCCAUAUUUAUACGUUCGCUUUCGAUGAGUCAGUAGUGGAUGUUCUUGCGGAGAGGGGGUUCAAGUUGUAUCUCGGAUUCCAUCAAAUUAGUCUUCGCUUGAUUGGACCUAAGCCAGCUCUUUCGCUCUAGUAUAAAAUAACCAGGGACCUCAAUAAAAUAUUAUAGAUAAAAACACUUACUUACACGCAGGGUUGGUAACAAAAUGAUUUUUUUGCCUCUAAUGGCAGACAUUGUAGGCGAAUCCUAAAACUACUUUAGAUAGCUAAAAUGCUGAAAGGAGUCCGUUAAAACACAGCUGAUUUUAAUAUACUAUUUGAUAGCUUUGCUGGAGAAAUAUUUUGGUGGUGAGAUUCUGGUGUUAUGUCAAUAAAUAUAACAGUAAUGAAAGACCCACGAGUUGAGGAAAAUCAUUCUAAC